rnacentral:rRNA from 1 species
UCUGGUGGUCAUGGCGAGGAAUCAAACGCUCCAUCCCAUCCCGAACUGGAAAGCGAAAGUCCUCUGCGGCAAUGGUACUACGUCUUAAGACGCGGGAGAGUAGCACGCUGCCAGAC